ensembl:lncRNA
UCAUCUGGUUCAGGAGAGAAACAAAACAUACAGUAUCCUAGCUGAACUGACAACGGAGGUAGACCCCAAUUUCCACAAACUCUGGCUGGAGGGGAAUCGCUGUCUGUGCUGACCAGCUGUAUCUGGGCACAGUGAAGCUGCUCCAGGCCUGGUUGGGCACUGUGCGAGCUCUGGCACAAACUCUGCAUGAACCAAAGCUUCCCGAAGAGCCUGCAAGAAGGUGCAGACGCCUGUCCAAGGCUGAGCAGUGCCAGUGACACAGCAGAUGCAUAUGUUUCUAAGAAUACUGCCUGGCAGCCUGGCACUGAGCCAGACUUUGGAAGGGGACUGUGGAAAGGAAUCGCUGAAGGAGCUGAAAACAUCAGAGCACUUGGAAGGGCCGUUCCCAACCUAGCAGUGUCCACUGCUCGUGGUGCAGAGGUCACUUAGCCGCUUUUCCCCAGAGCUCUCCUGCCUGGGAGAGGCCAGUCCCUGUGUGCUUGGGGACAGCAGGACAGUCUGAGAAGGCACUCUGAGAACAACCCAGCCUUGCUGAAAGUAGGCCUUGGCUUUCCACAUGUGGGUCUGAGCCUCUGUUUUCCAAUGAGGUUUGGAUAUCAAGGGAGGCCAAUAACCACAGCGUAAUAUCACUCCAGCUCCAUCUCAGGGGUAGUGUCAAUUGUGCUCAACCAUUCAAUAGUUCUGAAAUAAACUGCCUCGUUAGCAUCAUCAUACCACAAACAUGGGGGGUAAUACUUUGUUUCUUUUGCCUCCAACUGUGACCCAGUGAUAUGUUUGUCAUGGCUUGGCUGGAGGACAUACAGAGCUCCCGGGGAACAACUUCUAGGAAAAUGCUAUGUAUGUUUCGCCUGAGCUGCACUGAUUCAGCUGUUACAACCCAGAGCUCAGAUACAAGUAGCAGAUCAGAAGAACACAGCUGUUGAUGUUGACAUGUUGCUGGCCUUAUGGAAUGAUGAUGAACAGCUGGAAAUGCAUUUGAUGAACUAGGGGAUAGGGACAGAGUAAACAAUUUCAGGCUCGCUGGAACACUGCAAACAAAAAGGCAAUCAACUGAGGACGUCAAAUUCUUCCUUUGCAAAUCAUUUGUAGAUCUUUCACUGCUUUUUACAAUGGGUUUCAGAAGGAUGCACAUGGCAAGGCUGUAAACUUCAGAGCUGGCCAAGCCUGCACAGACCCCUUAUGAAAAUCUCACCAGAGGGCAAAAAUGUUUAAGGUGAA